UGGGAAGGGCCCGUCAGUAAGCAUUUCACUGUUAGUCCACACUUGUUAUUUAUGAAGCAUGUGACUAAUACAAUUUGAUUUGAUUUCCAUGGCUGGCCAUGUUGUUCAGAUCGCUCUGUUCCAAACAUGAGGUUAGUACCAGGAAGAGGAGGGCAUACACUUUAUUUAUGGAAAUAAGCUCCACUCUUGUUAUUUUAAAGAGACAGAUAUUCCCUCCCACAAAGCAGUCUAAAUAUUUUGACAUGUUUGAGUGUUACUGUAUUUUAUAGUAAAACUGAAUCACUCUUCUUCUCUAAAUAGGGUAUAACUUGAAGAAAAUAAACAAUUUCACAUGAAACGUUCCCCUUUCUUUGGCCAUCAAACAGUAGGAAAAGACUACUGUAGAGGACCUGAGCCCUAGGACCAUGCUUUAGGACUACCUGUCCUGAUGACUCCUUGCUGUCCCCAGUCUACCUGGUCGUGCUGCUGCUCCAGUUUCAACUGUUCUGCCUGCAGCUAUGGAACCCUGACCUGUUCACUGGACGUGCUACCUGUCCCAGACCUGCUGUUUUCAACUCUCUAGAGACAGCAGGAGCGGUAGAGAAACUCUGAAUGAUCGGCUAUGAAAAGCCAACUGACAUUUACUCCUGAGGUGCUGACCUGUGGCACCCUCUACAACCACUGUGAUUAUUAUUAUUUGACCCUACUGGUCAUCUAUGAACAUUUGAACAUCUUGGCCAUGCUCUGUUAUAAUCUCCAUCUGGCAUAGCCAGAAGACGACUGGCCACCCCUCAUAGCCUGGUUCCUCUCUAGGUUUCUUCCUAGGUUUUGGCCUUUCUAGGGAAUUUUUCCUAGCCACCGUGCUUCUACACCUGUAUUGCUUGCUGUUUGGGGUUUUAGGCUGGGUUUCUGUACAGCACUUUGUGACAUAAGUUGAUGUGGCAGUGUAGCCUAGUCGUUAGAGCGUUGGACUAGUAACUGAAAGGUUCCAAGUUCAAUACCCGAGCUGGUAAGGUACAAAUCUGUCCUUCUGCCAGUCAUUGAAAAUAAGAAUUUGUUCUUAACUGACUUGCCUAGUAAAAUAAAUGUAAGGGCUUUAUAUAUACGAUUGAUUGCUUAAAAUACAUUCUUAAUCUGUGCUGUAGUGUUCUUUUUGUCCUUUUUCGCGAGGAAUUAUUGCUUGCUUUGUGAGAUGAACUAACCUCCUAUUAUGUAGCAUCAGUUUGCAGCCAUUUCACUCUCACUGCAGUUAUCUUUGUCCAUCUGAUACAA
ensembl:lncRNA